rnacentral:rRNA from 1 species
AUUGAACGCUGGCGGCAGGCCUAACCCAUGCACGUCGAGCGGAGCGGCGGACGGGUGAGUAAUGCCUAGGAAUCUGCCUGGUAGUGGGGGAUAACGUCCGGAAACGGGCGCUAAUACCGCAUACUAUCAGAUGAGCCUAGGUCGGAUUAGCUAGUUGGUGGGGUAAAGGCCUACCAAGGCGACGAUCCGUAACUGGUCUGAGAGGAUGAUCAGUCACACUGGAAGUGAAAAACGGUCCAGAAUCCGACGGGAGGCAGUAGUGGGGAAUAGUGGACAAGUGGCGAAAGCCUGAGACAGCCAUGCCGGUUGUGUGAAGAAGGUCUUCGGAUUGUAAAGCACUUUAAGUUGGGAGGCGUUACCAACAGAAUAAGCACCGGCUAACUUCGUGCCAGCAGCCGCGGUAAUAC